rnacentral:rRNA from 1 species
GAGCUUCUCUUGGAUGAAACUCCUGACUACACCUUUUUUAAGGUAUUCGGGUGUGCUUGCUGGCCUCAUCUUCGUCCUUAUAAUGAUCGCAAACUUGAGUUUCGCUCCAAAAAGUGUGUGUUCUUGGGGUAUAGUUCUCUCCAUAAAGGCUACAAGUGUCUCCAUGUCCCAACUAAUCGAGUCUACAUAUCUCGGGAUGUUAUUUUCGAUGAGAAUGUCUUCCCUUUUUCUGCCAUGCCUCAGUCAUCCACCACAGCACCAUCUAUGCAUUCAUCUCCUCUUAUGCCUGCCCAAUUU